ensembl:lncRNA
CGGGUGUCGCCAUGAUCUUUCUCUUUCUGUUGGAGCUCCAAAGGUGCUCGCUAAGUCAGACUGUCAGACAUAGUAGUAAUUGUCGUGGGGGCGUCGCUCAUUCACCUGUUCCAGGUAUUGAAUUCCAGACAAAAACACAGGAUGUCCAAAUCUGGUUAAGUUCCUUCCCAGCAGUAAACAGUGGAAAAGGAGAAGAGGUGGGUUAGGACGGGGACAAGACUGUAGAUCCAGGUACACUUCUGAUCCAGUGAUACUAUGAAGGUCUGUUGAACACAGAAUAGAGAGUCUUUGUGAAAGGUACGCGAAAGGAAAUUCAGUAACGAGGUUAUACUUUGGAACUGUGUACUGCCAGCCAGAGAAGGAAGGAAACGAAUGAAGAGGUGGGCUGGUUGGAGAUGGUUCAUUUAUUACGUGAAUAUAUUAACCCUUAUUUUACUGGAGCGACCGACAGAAGUGCCAGGUCCGAUACAUAGACAAACCACAGAGCUAGCUGCUCACUGUGAAACUCAAGAAACAUGCCUUUGUCUUUGACUUUGAAGGAGGAACAUGUCUUCUGUCGCCAUGGUGCUUCUAAUGGGCUUUGCAGAAUGAUCAGACGAUGAGGAUAGCUAUUUAAAAAAAAAGUCUUCUCUAUGAGGGGUGGUUUGUUGGGGUCUCUUGCGACGUCUCACUGAUUCUAUUCCUAUUACCUGAUAUUUUUCUAAACGGUAGAGUGUGCUGUAAAUACUUUUGCAUGAUUCUUGUCAUUAUAUUUAUUUUUCUUCUGUCAUCACAGCCAUCACCUUAUUCUAAUAGCUAGCUUCCUGCUGAGCUAGCCAUUAAAUCUAGAUAGUGUUACAGUCAAAGAGGUUUACUGUUCUGCACCUCUUACACAAAGGACAGUCUUCAUCUGUUGUGUUUUUAGCGAGUUUGGACGCGUGGGUCUCUUCCCCUUUUGUUCUCUUUUCUUCGUCAGUGCCUUCACUUGGUUCAGUUUGCACUGCGGGGUUUCGUGUUGUGUCCUGAAACAUAACAGCUCCUGGCAGGACCCUGAAGGUGCACCGGAUGUCACUGGAAGGCCACCACCCCGAAUGUAAACUAACUCCUGAGUGGGUUUCAAAGGCAAACCGAAUACUUCCACAUUUGGAAAACCAAAUAUCCUGUUUGCUAGAUUUAUUUAAACAUGAUAAUUUGAAGGAAACAAAUUUAAGAUUAUCAUUUGUCUAGACAGAAAUUUAUAUUUAACAAUUUAAAUGAAUAUAAAUUUAUAUACUGGCAUUGUGAUAGUUAGUAACCCCUUUUGGACAUGCCCAAUGAAGAUAUGUUCCUCUGUCUUCUAAUUUCUCUGAUCUGAUAGCUGCCGCUUUGGGUUUAUCCACAUAUUCUGUGUAUACGCCAUAAAUACUCCAUUACCAAGCCUUUGUAAGUACUAAGAGUCAACUGUAUUCAUCCAUGUGUUUUGAUUAACCAAUUUUCCGCCACCCAAAAGGGGUUAAAUGUGUAUCUUGUCUUUGGUGUGUUUUUCUAUGUGUUUUGUAUGUUUUCUCUUAGAUUGGAAAUUAACAGGGCAGUGUAAUGCCCAGUUUUGUGUAUUUUAGACAAACAGUUGCAAAUGUUCUUUUUAUAAUAAAAUUACAAUAUUUUUUACAAUA